rnacentral:rRNA from 1 species
UGGGGAAUAGUGGACAAUGGGGGAACCCUGAUCCAGCGAUGCCGCGUGAGUGAAGAAGGCCUUCGGGUCGUAAAGCUCUUUAGGUUGGGAAGAAGUAUGUUGAGGUAAUAUCUCAGCAUAUUGACGGUACCGACAGAAUAAGCACCGGCUAACUCUGUGCCAGCAGCCGCGGUAAUACAGAGGGUGCAAGCGUUAAUCGGAAUUACUGGGCGUAAAGCGCGCGUAGGUGGUUAGUUAAGUUGGAUGUGAAAUCCCCGGGCUCAACCUGGGAACUGCAUUCAAAACUGACUGACUAGAGUAUGGUAGAGGGUGGUGGAAUUUCCUGUGUAGCGGUGAAAUGCGUAGAUAUAGGAAGGAACACCAGUGGCGAAGGCGACCACCUGGACUGAUACUGACACUGAGGUGCGAAAGCGUGGGGAGCAAACAGGAUUAGAUACCCCUGUAGUCCCUGAGCGGGCUGGCAAGGCGCAU